AAAAUGCUUCGGUGAUGAUGUAAGUGUUCAACUGCGAAAUGUUCUCCUUUGUUUAAGUUUUAGGUUAUCCAGUUCAACUGAUGAACUCAUUGAAAGAAAGCUGAUAAGUAAAGUCUGUCAUCAUAUUUCACAACUGGACAUUUAGUGUGGUAACUUUUACAGAAUCUAUGUAUAUUGGUGGUAGGUUGGAUAUCAUAUUCUGCUUGAAUGUCCUGAUAAGCCUGAUUCAAAAUCUCCAAUGAUAAUCAUAUAUUGAUGGAAUUAUGUAUCAAAAAGCUGUGAAUUUGGAGCUGUCUACAUGCUUCAUAAACACUGUUUAAAAAAUGUUUUGGUUUUGUUUUUGACUUCUUUGACCAGAGCCCUACACAAAGGAAGAGGACAGAGGACCUCAUUUUCUAAAGGAAGAUCCCUCACACACUUUCAAGACUGUGAAGCCGACAGGUAUUGAAGACACGUUUUCUAAGAGGAUGAAAGUUGGCAUUGUGAUGGUGAAAGAAGAAGACAUCAUCGAUGUGUUGGUUGUCCUUGAGGCGGCAGUAAUCCUGUCUAAUCUGAGGGAUGUCUCAAGUGCCAUUUCCAUGCUGAUGGGCCUUCUUUUUGCCCUCAACAUAGACUAUCCAAAGGAACUUAAGGACAUCUUUGAAGCCAUUCAGAACAUCCUAAUGAACAUUGGUGGAAGGCAGUGCAUCUCACUAGUGCAUGGUCUAAGAAACAGACUCUUGCAGAAAGCCAUGCAGAACUGUAAUUGUAUGCUCACAGCAUACAAUUGCCUUAGUGUUAAGGACAGUUUUUAUUUUACUGUUUGUUUUUUUAUUCUUGCAAGUUCUCAUGUUUCACUUUUGUAUGUCACUAAAUGACUACACUUUACAUUCCAGAUUAGAUAAUUACUCAUUUGUUCAUGGUUUAAGAAACUUAUGUGAACAACAAUAUAAUGGUGGACUUUGCAGAUGCUUAUCUCAUGCAAGUCAGUAGUUUUUCCUUUGUUUUGCAAUUGAGCAGACUCAAACUAAUGUUUCUGAAAUAUCCAUAUUAUCAAAUGUUUCAGAAGCAUGUACUCAUUUUCAGAGAUAUUGGUUCUGUGGAAUUUGUUGCAAUUGUAAACGAAGACAAAUACAAGAGUUUGAUGUCUUAGUUGUUAUAAACUGAUCUUUACUGUCACUUAUCAAAGGUUUUGUACUAUUUUAAUAUUUCAAGUUUUAUGCUAGCAGGUGUGACUGAGCACAAUGAAGUUUAAAAAUUUUGCAAAUGUAAAGAAUAACUUUUCUAAAAUAGCAAGUGUCCCGUUGAUACAUUACAUUAAUGCAGACUUUAUGUUGUUACUUCACAAGAAUCACUACUGCUCCUAGAGUAUUGGUCAGAAUUUAAUCUUCACCCAAACUGGGCUCAAGACCAAGUUCAAAUUUAUUGUUUCACAGGGAGCAGCCUUUGAGUUUUGAUGGAUUGUGAGCCUGA
ensembl:lncRNA